ensembl:lncRNA
CCAUACUUAUCAUAAAUUAUUAACUUGGAAUUCAUACCUUGUAGUUUGAAGUUCUGGUCAGAAAUGUUGCCCCUGAGGGGGUGGGUCCAGGUGAAAGUAAUUUUUAACUGGGUUAGCCAUAAAGUAAUCUAUGAAUAAAUAGAUCAGGUACAUGCCUUUCAGAAUUAAUCAUAUUCUGAUGUCGUACAAACAUCAAAAUCUGGCAAAAACUCGUGUCAGUUGGCUUUAGGCUUCUAGAACUACGGUGGUAUGAGAAGUAAACCAUCAUUGCUCUCAUUUGAUUUUCAAGCUCACUAAUGACCCAGAUUAGAUACCAGCUGGCUGGUCACAUUUGCAUGGCAUAAGUGGUGAUUGUGUGUUUAUCUUCAAGUUCCCAGACCUCAUUGCAGAGUUUGCCAGCAACUAGAGAGGCUCCCCUCAUGGAGGAGCCUCUGAAAGCUCUCUUUGGGGUAACGGAAGAGAGCCUCCUGAUAUCCCUGGUUGAGGGUCACUCCAACCCCACCUCCUCCAGCUCUUCCGAGUUGAGCUAUGCUAUCGCGGGGGAGGUAGUACACCAGCUUAACUCUGGCCUCUCAGUGGCCAUUCAGGCCAGCUCGGGGAGUUGCCCCCCUAUGGACAGUCAGGACAUAGCAGCAGGCAAGGAGGUCAUUCGGGUAGCUUCGGUGCAGAUCCUGGCCGAGCUACAGAGCCAAACGUCUGAGCCAGAGUGGGUAGGGUUUAUCGAGCCCCUCAUGGACCCUGUGACCGAUGAUGUGCUGAAUGCCAUUGCCGGCACAAUGGACAAAAUGGCACAGGACUACAACAUCCUAUUGGAUCUGGCCAAGAAGAUGACAAUCUUGGGGUCUAAAUUUCUGACCAAUCUUCAAUGUGACCUUGAUGUUGAGUGUCCAUCUGGGAAAGAAGGGACCACUCACUUUCUCAAAGAGACUGGAUCCUCUAGCAGUGUGGUGUCCAGAAAGCUUCAGACCCUCUCUAGCCCCGACUUUCAGUCUAAAGCCCUCAAGGCGGUGAGCACCAUCCUUACAAGGAAAGUCAGCAGCUCUUCUGGCGUGGCUCCUUCCUCUAGGCCUUCUAGUGCUGCUCCUAGCCUUACUGAAGCUCCCCUGAAUACCAGCUGCACAGCCCUGACAUCUGUAAGCUCCACUGCCACAGUGAUUGUUAAGGCAUUUGUGGGAGGCAUGGAGACGAUAGCAUCAUUUGAAGGCAAAUGUGAAGCAGUUGAUUGGCCAGUUCCUGUAAAUGACCACAAAACAGGGUUUUCACAGAAGAUAACCUUCUCUCCAGCCCGCACACUCUAUGGCCUUAUACGAGCAAAGCUGAGGGACCUUUUAACUCUAUCCGCUCGAGAAGAAGGUGUGGCUAAGGAUGCUUCUCUUCAGGAGUCUUCAGACACCCUGGAAAAGGCAACUGUUUCAACUGUUGAGGUCCAGUUACCCAGCACCAAACUUAGUAGAGUUCCCAGUGAGAGCCAACCAAUGCCAGCUCUCUGUCUCUCCAAUCUGGAUAACAGCACUCAAGAAGUUCUUAGCAGUGUUUUUUCCAUCUACAAGUCAGAGUUAUCAAAAGUGGAGAGUAAAUGCUUGGCCGUUGUCAGUUCAUCUGAUGAGUCCCUAGAUGCUUGUUGGUUUGUUGAUGGUGUCCUAUCAAAGCUUGAUGACUAUACUAUUUCCCAGUCACCCUCACCCAAUGAAGACUUGAGUGUGAGUACUCAAUGUUCUCAACUGAGCUCAGAAGAGAGUGUCAGAAUCACACAUUCCUCUACUAGUCUGAUUCAGAGCAUUAAGAAGCUCUCUAGCAAUGACUUUCAGACUCAGGCAGAAGAGGCAGUGAGUAAAGUGCUGAUGAGAUCCAGUCAUUCCUUUAUCACACAGAUCAGCCAUACUGGUCUUCAGAAAAGUCUGCAGGCUGGCUUAUCAUCUAGCUCGCCAUCAGAGAUUGCCUCCAUGUCCUCUCAGAAUACAGCCCCUGGAUUAGUGGAAACCUUUGUCAAAGGAAUGGCGACUAUUUUCCAGAAAAAUGAGUCCACUGACACUGUGCUCCUGGAAAGAAGUGGGAGAGUUUUGCAGUGCUCCCACGGGGGCUCCCAACUGGAUGAUACUGAAUUGAGUGUUAAAAUAUCAGAAGAGAAGCUUUGGUCAACAGCUAAGACCAUCUGCGUCAAUAUGAAGAACAUACUUAAGGAUUUCUUCACAGGGCUGAAGCCAUCCGGAUCCGAAAGGACAGAAAAUGCUUCUUCCAAAGAGACCCUUGGGGAAAUCCUGGUUGCUAUCCAGAGUGAAAUCUCAAACUUAGGGCGAAUUAAGGAUUCCAGGGAGCUCCUUCAGAUCAACGAUAUGGUAGGAACUAUGCUGAAGGAGGUUGAGAAAAGUGAGGAUGACAGUGAACAAGUCUGCCAAGACAUCCCUAGAACCUGUUCAUCUUUGUCCACUUCUUUGAAGGGUCGUAGUUCCUUGUCUAGCUCUUCAAAGGGUCCUAGGUCAGAGUGUGAGUUAGAGAUCAACCUCCCUGGCACUCCCAUCCCUGACGAAGUGCCUUUUGAUCUGACCUGCCCCAUCGUCAGGAGCUCCUGCAUCGACACCAGGGACUCUAAAAUGCCAGAGAUUUCUACAAGUGACCUAAGGACAAAGAUGAUGGCACACACAGAUGAACCCCUGCAUCGUAACAGUCCAAUGACUGACAGCAGCCGACCACCGAGUGCUAAAGCCUCUUUUCGAUCCUCCACUACUCCAUCUUUCACCAGCAAGGGAACCUCUUUGGUACCAAAGGGAGAUGGGAUUGACAUUGAAGAGAAGGAGGUGAGCAUCCCCAGCAGCUCUGGCCAUCUGAGGGAGCUCUUAAUCAGCCCAGACAUCAGCAGUGCCACUGCAUUCCCACUGCAGUACUUGAUGGACUCCAGCAAAGAUGAUGUCAUCUGUUUGGUCACCGUACUGGUGAUAAGGUUGCUAUCGAAGAUCAGACCCUCAGCCCUAGAUGGACCCUUCCAACAGGCACCAGACAUGACAGAAACAUCUCAGCAACUCAUCAGACAAGUCCUGUCUGAGUUCUGUGCUGCAUCCAGAUUCUCCAGGACACAGGAAUAUUCCCAGAACCUGCACAUCCACAGGGUGUUCAGAGGUGUACAUAAAAACUUGAUGGAGGAGUUUGGCUCUUAUAACACCCUGCAAGCAGCUAUUUCCUCCCAGGACCCUGCAUUUGACAGAGUCCUGGUAAAGUCCUUGACCCAGCAGCUGGUACAGGGACGCAAGGAGGCGUCAAGACCAGCUUCUGCUGCAACAAACCCAGCAGACCAGGCUGAGACAGAGAGGGGGGCUGAGCAGAAAGCAAGAAGGAGCUUCCUUUGCUUUUCAAUGACCAAACUCAGGAUCAACUUCAAGCGUUCCAAGAGAGGAAACAAAAAGGACUGCCAUUCAGUCCAGGAACAGACUGAGAUUACCUCUACUGAUGGACAUUGCAUAGGUAAGGAUGUUUUAGAGCUCUGCUAUAGCUUGUAGUUUUGUUUAGGUGUGUGUUAGAAACAUAGAGUAUGCCUACCAAACUCAUUGCACUGUUAUUUAUCAAAGUUAUUAUACUGUAUUUCUCUCUCUCUCUCUCUCCCCCUCUCUCCCCAUCCAUUUCUCUUGUGUUUCUAGCUCCACACAUUGAGGCUCAUGGUGCUGAAUCUCCAGCUGGAGAGGUUUCUCCCUCCAUAUCUCAGCCUAUCAAAAAACAAUUCUUGAUUGUCAGGGUCUUUUCAGCAAUGAUGAAGCCAUUCAGGCGCUUCACCAAGAAGAACCUGUAACCUGUUACGCUGCAUGAAGAACUACUUUUGUAACAGCAAGACUUUUGACAAGAGGAAUUUCUGCAUGUCUA